UGAGGAAUAUUGGUCAAUGGGCGAGAGCCUGAACCAGCCAAGUAGCGUGCAGGAUGACGGCCCUAUGGGUUGUAAACUGCUUUUAUGUGGGGAUAAAGUGCGUGACGUGUCAUGCAUUGCAGGUACCACAUGAAUAAGGACCGGCUAAUUCCGUGCCAGCAGCCGCGGUAAUACAGAAGGUCCGGGCGUUAUCCGGAUUUAUUGGGUUUAAAGGGAGCGUAGGCUGUCUAUUAAGCGUGUUGUGAAAUAUACCGGCUCAACCGGUUGCUUGCAGCGCGAACUGGUCGACUUGAGUAUGCAGGAAGUAGGCGGAAUUCAUGGUGUAGCGGUGAAAUGCUUAGAUAUCAUGACGAACUCCGAUUGCGCAGGCAGCUUACUGUAGCAUAACUGACGCUGAUGCUCGAAAGUGCGGGUAUCAAACAGG
rnacentral:rRNA from 1 species